CCUACGGGAGGCAGCAGUGGGGAAUUUUGGACAAUGGGCGAAAGCCUGAUCCAGCAAUGCCGCGUGAGUGAAGAAGGCCUUCGGGUUGUAAAGCUCUUUUGUCAGGGAAGAAACGGUGAGAGCUAAUAUCUCUUGCUAAUGACGGUACCUGAAGAAUAAGCACCGGCUAACUACGUGCCAGCAGCCGCGGUAAUACGUAGGGUGCAAGCGUUAAUCGGAAUUACUGGGCGUAAAGCGUGCGCAGGCGGUUUUGUAAGUCUGUCGUGAAAUCCCCGGGCUCAACCUGGGAAUUGCGAUGGAGACUGCAAGGCUAGAAUCUGGCAGAGGGGGGUAGAAUUCCACGUGUAGCAGUGAAAUGCGUAGAGAUGUGGAGGAACACCGAUGGCGAAGGCAGCCCCCUGGGUCAAGAUUGACGCUCAUGCACGAAAGCGUGGGGAGCAAACAGGAUUAGAUACCCUGGUAGUCCACGCCCUAAACGAUGUCUACUAGUUGUCGGGUUUUAAUUAACUUGGUAACGCAGCUAACGCGUGAAGUGACCGCCUGGGGAUACGGUCGCAAGAUUAAAACUCAAANAGAGUAGAGNGNGAGAGNGCGACGACGACGACGAGGGAGGAGG
rnacentral:rRNA from 1 species